GGGAACAUAGGGCUGUGUGAACAUUGGGCUGUGGGAACAUAGGGCUGUGGGAACAUAGGCACGCUCCCAUCUGAACUGGGUCCGUCUUGAAAGUUCAAGUUUUUUUCUUAGUCACGAGGUACAGGUCUCGCGGUUUUCGCAUUAUUCCAGUCUAGUUGCCAGGCAGAUUUCGUGGGGCACAUCUGAAAGUGCCCCACCGCUCAAUGUUAACUUUGGCCUGUGUGGUUCACGCUCAUUGGUGUUUCUAUGGUAACGGUGGGGCAGCGUGGGCCUUUGCCCCACCGGAAAGGGAGGGACAGCGGAGAGCAGCAUUUCACAGAGCAAGCACACAGACAGAAAAACACACAAAUCAAAUUACUCCAAAACAAGACUAUAAUGCAUGUGAGUCAAGUUUAUUCACACACAUAUUCACCCUACUUUGCAUAAAAAUACAUAUAUAGAUAUUUUGCCGCGAAGUACGAAUGUAUUGAGCUUUCUGCACAACAGCGUCAUCUGGAUCUGGUGGGGCAGUGCCCCACCUGCCCCUAAUGUAGAAACGCCACUGGAAGUAAGUAUGUACUGGCAUACAUGCAUUUCUAUAAUUAGUUUGUUCCAUUUUAAACUGUAUUCAUCUGUUGUCUAUUUUUUUUUUUUUUAUAUCAUCCCAGAAUUUCAGAGACUGGUUCUCAUCAAAUUGGUGCAAAUAAGAACUCUGAUGUCCGAAGAUUGGAGAACGAAACUGAUUUUGAUGAGAUAUUGAAUGUUACAGCCUAACGGUGAGUCCAUAUUAGACAUGUUGCUAUUCUGAGUGAUACCUGGUAUUUUUCACACAACCACCUCUAUCCCCCAGGCCUCAUCCCUACCAGUGCUGUUCUGGAGCAAACGAAUUGCCAUAUGGUGGCUAUAAUCCUCAAAAGCAACUCUGGUACAAUUAAGACAGGCUCAGCUUGGAGCUUUGGAGUGGUGGGAACCACAAGGCUACUUGACCAGGAAAUCUACAGAGCAAUGGGAAACCCCCUGAAGCCAUUAGAAGUCUUCUCCUGGCAGAGCUGGUAUUGGAGGCCUCCAACAUAGUGAGCAAGACCCUUCUCCUGUGUCCCCUCAUGCUCUGUAGACUUGGAAGUUUGUGACAUAGCUAGUGGUGCUCCCUGCCAUGACCCACACCUCGAUAUCCCAUUUUGUUGUUUUGAUGAUGCAGAGAAGGCAAGUCUUUGUUUAUUUAUUUAUUUUGUGUGUGUAUAACAAGUUUUCUCUCUCUUCUCCCACAGAUAGUAGGACCUUAACCUGCAAAUGCUGAUGGUUGUGAUAACACUGUAACCCAUCAUCAUAACCUAUAAUUGCAUAUACGGGCCAUUCUACCGAAUUGGUGCAAAGUGUGGUCCCACAACAAUAAAAACUAUUUACAAAACAAUUAAGUAUUCAGACAUAGAUAUUUAUUAAGAAUAUGUUAUGGUCUAUUUAAACCCAAGACAUUAAUUGAGAUAGGGAUAAGCUAAAUAUAUACAAAAUCAUCAUUUAUAGGGUACUUUCUAUUGGGAAGUAGCUGUCCCUAACCCUGGCAUCUAAAUUUCAAUGUCUGUAAAUAACACUUUUUAGAUUUUUUUCAAUGAUGUAAUUUCAAAGAUCUUUACGAUUAAGUUUAAACAGAACUUGGAAGAUUUAGAUUUAUUGUGGGUUUAAUAAAAAAAAAAAAAAAAACUAUACUCAAAAAAUAGUUUUCAUGUCACUACCAAAACACAGGAGUUUUAGUCCAUUGGCUGAGCCUGUUUUUUAGCCACACCCC
ensembl:lncRNA